rnacentral:lncRNA from 1 species
GGUCCGUGGUCUGCUCCAUCCACUUCACCGAGGACUGCUUCGAGGAGGCGAACGAGAGGCAGCUGAAGGCCCACGCCGUGCCCACCCUGCUGCUCUACCACCCGGUCAGCCAGACAGCAGACAGCGGUCACUCAGAACCCUGCCUGAACAGCUCAGACGCCGCCCAGCACACGUUCUUCUCCAAGUACGACGCGGUGGACAAGUACCUGCGCUCCAGGGUCUACCCCCAGGCCUCAAUGCGGUGGAGAAGAACACGCUGCGCAGGCUCUGUAAAAGAUUCGCGCUGCACGGGGACGUCCUCUACCACAUUGCCCCCCGCGGCCAGCGGAAAGUUGUGCGUAGCAAAGAGGAAGUCCACUCCACGCUGACCACCUACCACGAUGAAAUGAGUCACCUGGACUUUUCAAAGUGCUACAAGCUCAUAUCCAAGCACUUCUUCUGGGGCUCCAUGAAAGUAGAUGUCAUGCAGUGGAUCCAGAUGUGUAAAGAGUGCUCUGGUGCCACGGCUUCGACAACGCAUGGUGCCAUCAGGAUGGACUCCCGCUCUGAGCUUUUAGAUGACCGUUACCAAGACCAGGAGCAUUUAAGCCUGAGUGACGAGGACACGUCCUCAGAGACUGUCCAUGUACAGUCGUUUGUAGAUCAGGUCAUUCAGCACUGUCUGAACUCCACCGGUUCCGAGAUACCUGAUCCUAUGGACGGCCGCCAAUCAAACAAACACAGGAAUGACAGCAGAGGCUUAUCGCUCCUCGGUGCGUCCAAGAGUUCUCAGACUGUGGAAGAAGACGUCCUUGUGGACUGGAAGUCAAAGCCCCUGCGGGCACGGGCUGUGGUGCAGCAGUGCGAACAUGCAAUCCUUCAGGACCGAGACGACAUUGACUGGGUGCAGGUACUCUGAUCUGCUCUCCUCACGUAGGUCUGGAUGCGUCUGUAGACCACGAGCUGGCCAACGUGUUGAGAAAGUUGACGUGUUGCAUGUUAGACGUACGUUUGAAUGAAAUUGGGUUUCUUUGGAAUUUCAGAUUAAUGUCGGAAUGGUGGUGUACGUAUGCUUCUUCAAGGGAGCCACAGAAGCUAUAAUACCAAAGAUGGGUGAGUGCAUCAGUUUUUUUUAGUGUAAAGUCACAAAGAAGUGCAGCAAGCUUCUGUAAUGAGGAAUCAUGUGCAGCACAGAAAAAUGUAAAAAUAUUAGCAGACGAAUCCGUCCUUAUCUACCAGGUUCGGGCCACCCAGAUCCUGGUCCAGUCCUUAGUAAUCUCACGACUUGACUACUGUAACCCCC